rnacentral:rRNA from 1 species
UCGGAGGGAUCAUUACACAAAUAUGAAGGCGGGCUGGAACCUCUCGGGGUUACAGCCUUGCUGAAUUAUUCACCCUUGUCUUUUGCGUACUUCUUGUUUCCUUGGUGGGUUCGCCCACCACUAGGACAAACAUAAACCUUUUGUAAUUGCAAUCAGCGUCAGUAACAAAUUAAUAAUUACAACUUUCAACAACGGAUCUCUUGGUUCUGGCAUCGAUGAAGAACGCAGCGAAAUGCGAUAAGUAGUGUGAAUUGCAGAAUUCAGUGAAUCAUCGAAUCUUUGAACGCACAUUGCGCCCUUUGGUAUUCCAAAGGGCAUGCCUGUUCGAGCGUCAUUUGUACCCUCAAGCUUUGCUUGGUGUUGGGCGUCUUGUCUCUAGCUUUGCUGGAGACUCGCCUUAAAGUAAUUGGCAGCCGGCCUACUGGUUUCGGAGCGCAGCACAAGUCGCACUCUCUAUCAGCAAAGGUCUAGCAUCCAUUAAGCCUUUUUUUCAACUUUGACCUCGGAUCA